GCAAACUUGGUCAUUUAGAGGAAGUAAAAGUCGUAACAAGGUCUCCGUUGGUGAACCAGCGGAGGGAUCAUUACAGAGUUAUGACACUCCCAACCCUUUGUGAACCAUACCGUCGUUGCCUCGGCGCAUAACCUGGCGGUCGCUUUCCGGUAGCUACCCUGGAGUCACCUACCCUGUAGAUGGCUACCCUGUAAGUGGCUACCCUGAAGCUCCCUACCCGGGAGCAUACCUACCCUGUAGGUGGCUACCCGGGAGACCGCCAGCCGCGUCAAAGGACCUCUAAACUCUUGUUUUUUUUGGUGUAUUUCUGAAUGGUAUCCAAAUUCGUUAAAACUUUCAACAACGGAUCUCUUGGUUCUGGCAUCGAUGAAGAACGCAGC
rnacentral:misc_RNA from 1 species